rnacentral:lncRNA from 1 species
GCACCCCACAACGGUACCGCCGCCAGCAACGUCUCCCCGCUGCGCCCUCAGCAGCUGAGGAGCAGCACAUGCUCAUCCUCCCCAGCCUGGAUGCUCUGGCCACGUAACCUACCCAGUGGCUGAACCUUUGGCUCAGCAAGCCGUCAUGUCGCAGCUGGGCACCUGGCGGCUUGGUCAUCCAAAUGUGCCUUUCUCCCAGGCCAGAGCCCUGCCACACACUGCCUUUUGUGGAGCGGCCGGGGAGGCAGAGCUACUCAAAGGACAACAGGACAAUAAUGAUCAAAUUCUGGCUUAG